UACGAGGGGUGCAAGCGUUGCUCGGAAUUAUUGGCGUAAAGGGUAGGUAGGUGGUCUCAUUUGUCUGAGGUGAAAGCCUUGAGCUUAACUCAAGAAGUGCCUUAGAAACGGUGAGACUGGAGUCCUGGAGAGGUCGUGGAAUUCCCGGUGUAGCGGUGAAAUGCGUAGAGAUCGGGAGGAACACCAGCGGCGAAGGCGGCGACCUGGACAGGUACUGACACUCAACUACGAAAGCGUCGGUAGCAAACAGG
rnacentral:rRNA from 1 species